rnacentral:rRNA from 1 species
AGUGAACGCUGGCGGUAGGCCUAACACAUGCAAGUCGAACGGCAGCACAGUAAGAGCUUGCUCUUACGGGUGGCGAGUGGCGGACGGGUGAGGAAUACAUCGGAAUCUACUUUUUCGUGGGGGAUAACGUAGGGAAACUUACGCUAAUACCGCAUACGACCUACGGGUGAAAGCAGGGGAUCUUCGGACCUUGCGCGAUUGAAUGAGCCGAUGUCGGAUUAGCUAGUUUGCGGGGUAAAGGCCCACCAAGGCGACGAUCCGUAGCUGGUCUGAGAGGAUGAUCAGCCACACUGGAACUGAGACACGGUCCAGACUCCUACGGGAGGCAGCAGUGGGGAAUAUUGGACAAUGGGCGCAAGCCUGAUCCAGCCAUACCGCGUGAGUGAAGAAGGCCUUCGGGUUGUAAAGCCCUUUUGUUGGGAAAGAAAAGCAGCAGGCUAAUCCCUCGCUGUUCUGACGGUACCCAAAGAAUAAGCACCGGCUAACUUCGUG